UGCCUGUCCUGCUGCCUGUACACCUGCCUGUCCUGGCACCUGUACACCUGCCUGUCCUGCUGCCUGUACACCUGCCUGACCUGCUGUCUGUACACCUGCCUGUCCUGCUGCCUGUACACCUGCCUGACCUGCUUACUGUACACCUGCCUGUCCUGCUGACUGUACACCUGCCUGCACACCUGCCUGUCCUGGCGCCUGCACACCUGCCUGUCCUGGCACCUGUACACCUGCCUGUCCUGCUGCCUGUACACCUGCCUGACGUGCUGUCUGUACACCUGCCUGUCCUGCUGCCUGUACACACAAUACCCCAUAAUGACAAAGUGAAAACAUGUUUUUAGAUGACAUUUUAUUUGUUGUAUUACAGAAAUACAGUAAUAUCUCAUUUACAUAAGUUUUCACACCCCCCAGAGUCAAUACUUUGUAGAAGCACCUUUGGCGCUGAUUCCAGCUGUGAGUCUUUCUGGGUAAGAUUCUACGAGCUUCUGGAACAUUUGCCCAUUGUAUUAUUUUCAAACUUCUUCGUCAAAUUGGUUGUUGAUCAUUGCUUGACAACUAUUUUCAGGUCUUGACAUAGAUUUUGAAGUAGAUUUCGGGGUCAACGGUAACUCGGCCACUCAGGAACAUUCACUGUCUUCUUGGAGAUAAACUCCCCCCCUCCACUCUGCAUCCCCCUGGCCUCACCUGAGUUAACUCAUUCUAACAUUCCAGUACUGUGGGGUUCUGAAAGAUCCAGUCCUGUGGGGUUCUGAAAGAUCCAGUCCUGUGGGGUUCUAAAAGAUCCAGUCCUGUGGGGUUCUGAAAGAUCCAGUCCUGUGGGGUUCUAAAAGAUCCAGUCCUGUGGGGUUCUGAAAGAUCCAGUCCUGUGGGGUUCUGAAAGAUCCAGUCCUGUGGGGUUCUAAAAGAUCCAGUCCUGUGGGGUUCUGAAAGAUCCAGUCCUGUGGGGUUCUAAAAGAUCCAGUCCUGUGGGGUUCUAAAAGAUCCAGUCGUGUGGGGUUCUAAAAGAUCCAGUCCUGUGGGGUUCUGAAAGAUCCAGUCCUGUGGGGUUAAAUGUCUAAAUGUUUGCCAUUGAUCAGCCCUACAGCAGAGAAUGGCUACUGUUACUAUGGAGGAGCAGCCUCAUUGGUCUACUGUUACCAUGGAGGAGCAGCCUCAUUGGUCUACUGUUACCAUGGAGGAGCAGCCUCAUUGGCCUACUGUUACCAUGGAGGAGCAGCCUCAUUGCAGACUUGACAGAGGUCCUUAUUCACAAAGCUACAGACCAGGGUCCUUAUUCACAAAGCUACAGACCAGGGUCCUUAUUCACAAAGCUACAGACCAGGGUCCUUAUUCACAAAGCUACAGACCAGGGUCCUUAUUCACAAAGCUACAGACCAGGGUCCUUGUUCACAAAGCUUUGAUUUGUUUAACACUUUUCUG
rnacentral:lncRNA from 1 species